rnacentral:rRNA from 1 species
UUGAACGCUGGCGGCAUGCUUUACACAUGCAAGUCGAACGGUAACAGGGAGCUUGCUCCGCUGACGAGUGGCGAACGGGUGAGUAAUGCAUCGGAACGUACCCAGUCGUGGGGGAUAACGUAGCGAAAGUUACGCUAAUACCGCAUACGUCCUGAGGGAGAAAGCGGGGGACCGCAAGGCCUUGCGCGGACGGAGCGGCCGAUGGCAGAUUAGGUAGUUGGUGGGAUAAAAGCUUACCAAGCCGACGAUCUGUAGCUGGUCUGAGAGGACGACCAGCCACACUGGGACUGAGACACGGCCCAGACUCCUACGGGAGGCAGCAGUGGGGAAUUUUGGACAAUGGGCGCAAGCCUGAUCCAGCCAUGCCGCGUGCAGGAUGAAGGCCUUCGGGUUGUAAACUGCUUUUGUACGGAACGAAAAGACUCUUUCUAAUAAAGAGGGUCCAUGACGGUACCGUAAGAAUAAGCACCGGCUAACUACGU